rnacentral:lncRNA from 1 species
CUCCUCAUCCCUGAGCUCUCCCAGCCCCUUUAGGGGCAGGACCCCUGAGGAUGAACCCUCAUUCUGCCGGCCUCUCGGAUCCCCCUUUCUCUUUUGCUUGCUUGCCCCUCCAAACAGGAAGGCGCCAACAACCCUACCUUGAGUCAGACCUGCGGCAACUAGGCAAGCUGCAGCCGCGAGGUAGAAGCUCUCUCUGACCCUUUUACCUUAACGGUUCGUACCCGCGGGAAAUUAAGUUGGAAAACUGCAAGCGAUUUCCGAUCUACGGCUUCUUCCAGCUCCUCAGAUUUAUCUUACCGUCCCCCCCGCGAAUCCUCCCAAGAUCCCACCGAAAGAUGGAUUCGAAGACUCUCCCCUCCUUCCACUGCUGGAUUCUGGCCCGUGCCCCGUCUCUCUCCACCCCAGCGGCUCCCCGAGUGAUUCCGUAAAGGGCAAAUGAAUUUUGACCAGGAAGACGGUGAGGAAAUUUCAUAAAAGUGAAAUACUAAUUGGAAACUCCUAUCCGCAUUGGUUGAUCUGACAAGUUGUAUAUAGAAACCAGCCUAUAUGGAGAUACGAAUGUCAAAAGAAGUUUUACUGAUGAUAGAAAUAUGAGAUGAUCAUUAUAUAUUCUUCAAGAAAAAAAAUAUGGCAAAGGUUAAUAAAGGUAAUACUGCCAAAAAUAUCCAGAUUGUAUUGAAGAAAAUUGUGAAAAGAAGGACCAGAGUCAAAGUUAUUUUUCUAGGUUAGUACACUUGUUAAAACAUAAUCAUGGCCGGGCAUGG